UACGUAGGGGGCUAGCGUUGUCCGGAAUCAUUGGGCGUAAAGAGCGUGUAGGCGGCCCGGUAAGUCCGCUGUGAAAGUCGGGGGCUCAACCCUCGAAAGCCGGUGGAUACUGUCGGGCUAGAGUGCGGAAGAGGCGAGUGGAAUUCCUGGUGUAGCGGUGAAAUGCGCAGAUAUCAAGGAGGAACACCGGUGGCGAAGGCGGUGGUCUGGGCCGGCACGACGCUGAGGAGCGAAAGCGUGGGUAGCAAACAGG
rnacentral:rRNA from 1 species